AUUGAACGCUGGCGGCAUGCCUUACACAUGCAAGUCGAACGGUAACGGGCCUUCGGGUGCCGACGAGUGGCGAACGGGUGAGUAAUACAUCGGAACGUGCCCGAUCGUGGGGGAUAACGAGGCGAAAGCUUUGCUAAUACCGCAUACGAUCUACGGAUGAAAGCAGGGGACCGCAAGGCCUUGCGCGGACGGAGCGGCCGAUGGCAGAUUAGGUAGUUGGUGGGAUAAAAGCUUACCAAGCCGACGAUCUGUAGCUGGUCUGAGAGGAUGAUCAGCCACACUGGAACUGAGACACGGCCCAGACUCCUACGGGAGGCAGCAGUGGGGAAUUUUGGACAAAGGGCGCAAGCCUGAUCCAGCCAUGCCGCGUGCAGGAUGAAGGCCUUCGGGUUGUAAACUGCUUUUGUACGGAACGAAAAGCCUUCUUUUAAUACAGGAGGGUCAUGACGGUACCGUAAGAAUAAGCACCGGCUAACUACGUG
rnacentral:rRNA from 1 species